rnacentral:hammerhead_ribozyme from 1 species
GUACUGCUGAAGAGUUCAAGAUUAGGGCGAAACAGCUGUCCAGUAC